GCAGUAGACGCUGAGACUUUAGCUUGCUAAAGUUGGAAGAGUUGCGAACGGGUGAGUAACGCGUAGGUAACCUGCCUACUAGCGGGGGAUAACUAUUGGAAACGAUAGCUAAUACCGCAUAACAGCAUUUAACCCAUGUUAGAUGCUUGAAAGGAGCAAUUGCUUCACUAGUAGAUGGACCUGCGUUGUAUUAGCUAGUUGGUGAGGUAACGGCUCACCAAGGCGACGAUACAUAGCCGACCUGAGAGGGUGAUCGGCCACACUGGGACUGAGACACGGCCCAGACUCCUACGGGAGGCAGCAGUAGGGAAUCUUCGGCAAUGGGGGCAACCCUGACCGAGCAACGCCGCGUGAGUGAAGA
rnacentral:rRNA from 1 species